GACGAAGGUGGCGAGCGUUGUUCGGAAUCACUGGGCAUAAAGCGCACGUAGCGGUGCCGUAAGUCGGAUGUGAAAUCCCUCGGCCUAACCGAGGAACUGCGUCCGAUACUGGCGUGCUUGAGGACUGGAGAGGAGACUGGAAUUCAUGGUGUAGCAGUGAAAUGCGUAGAGAUCAUGAGGAAGACCAGUGGCGAAGGCGGGUCUCUGGACCGUUCCUGACACUGAGACACGAAGGCCAGGGGAGCAAACGGG
rnacentral:rRNA from 1 species